GGUCCGUUCGGUUGUUCGCGCGGGCGCCUGCCUGACGCAGUUUGACAGAUUUGAGCAUGGCUCCGAAAAGACAGCAGGAGUCGGGUGCUGAGAAACGAAAGAAGAAGAAACUGCGAGAUGAUGCCCGUGCAUCACUUUCAGGGGCAAUGCUGAGAUACGUACGAGGAGGAGCAGACUGAAGACAAGAAGACUGACUAUUCUUGUUUGUACUUAUUGAUGAUUAUUUAAUUUAAUUUAUUCAAAGUGACAUUGAAUUUGCAAAAAAAAAAGUCUGGAUUAUUUUGAUAUUUUUUUAUUUUGCUAUUCUGUUUACUGUUUACAAAGUCAGCAAAGCUGUGAAGAUUUUACUUUCUCUUUUUAGUGUUCUUAAGUUUUAUACUGUGAUGCUGCUAUUGUGUGUUAUUGGUAUUGAGUUAUGUUUGGUAAUAAAAAGUUAAACUGGCAAAAA